rnacentral:rRNA from 1 species
GAUGAACGCUGGCGGCGUGCCUAAUACAUGCAAGUCGAGCGAAUGGAUUAAGAGCUUGCUCUUAUGAAGUUAGCGGCGGACGGGUGAGUAACACGUGGGUAACCUGCCCAUAAGACUGGGAUAACUCCGGGAAACCGGGGCUAAUACCGGAAAACAUUUUGAGCCGCAUGGUUCGAAAUGUAAAGGCGGCUUCGGCUAUCCCUUAUGCAUGGAUGCGCGUCGCAUUAGCUAGUUGGUGAGGUAACGGCUCACCAAGGCAACGAUGCGUGGCCGACCUGAGAGGGUGAUCGGCAACACUGGGACUGAGACACGGCCCAGACUCCUACGGGAGGCAGCAGUAGGGAAUCUUCCGCAAUGGACGAAAGUCUGACGGAGCAACGCCGCGUGAGUGAUGAAGGCUUUCGGGUCGUAAAACUCUGUUGUUAGGGAAGAACAAGUGCUAGUUGAAUAAGCUGGCACCUUGACGGUACCUAACCAGAAAGCCACGGCUAACUACGUGCCAGCCGCCGCAGUAA